rnacentral:rRNA from 1 species
AGUGAACGCUGGCGGUAGGCCUAACACAUGCAAGUCGAACGGCAGCACAGGAGAGCUUGCUCUCUGGGUGGCGAGUGGCGGACGGGUGAGGAAUACAUCGGAAUCUACUUUUUCGUGGGGGAUAACGUAGGGAAACUCACGCUAAUACCGCAUACGACCUACGGGUGAAAGCAGGGGACCUUCGGGUCUUGCGCGAUUGAAUGAGCCGAUGUCGGAUUAGCUAGUUGGCGGGGUAAAGGCCCACCAAGGCGACGAUCCGUAGCUGGUCUGAGAGGAUGAUCAGCCACACUGGAACUGAGACACGGUCCAGACUCCUACGGGAGGCAGCAGUGGGGAAUAUUGGACAAUGGGCGCAAGCCUGAUCCAGCCAUACCGCGUGGGUGAAGAAGGCCUUCGGGUUGUAAAGCCCUUUUGUUGGGAAAGAAAUCCAGCUGGCUAAUACCCGGUUGGGAUGACGGUACCCAAAGAAUAAGCACCGGCUAACUUCGUGCCAGCCGCCGCAGUAA